rnacentral:misc_RNA from 1 species
CAGAGAACUUGCCCUUCGGGGUAGAUCUCCCACCCUGUGUUUACGUUACCAUUGUUGCUUUGACGGGCCCGUCCCUCGGGACCGCCGGCUUCGGCUGGCCCGCGCCCGUCAGAGGACCCCAAACUCAUGUUUAAACGUCGUCUGAGUACUAUAUAAUAGUUA